AACGUAGGAGACAAACGUUAUCCGGAGUUACUGGGCGUAAAGCGUGCGCAGGCGGUUUUGUAAGCCAGAUGUGAAAGCCCCGGGCUCAACCUGGGAACUGCAUUUGGGACUGCAAGGCUGGAGUACGGCAGAGGGAGGUGGAAUUCCACGUGUAGCAGUGAAAUGCGUAGAGAAUGUGGAGGAACACCGAUGGCGGAAGGCAGCCUCCUGGGCUAGUACGUG
rnacentral:rRNA from 1 species